rnacentral:rRNA from 1 species
UACGUAGGGGGGCUAGCGUUGUCCGGAAUCAUUGGGCGUAAAGAGCGCGUAGGCGGCCAGAUAAGUCCGGUGUGAAAGUCAAAGGCUCAACCUUUGAAUGCCGCUGGAAACUGUCUGGCUAGAGUCUGGGAGGGGCGAGUGGAAUUCCUGGUGUAGCGGUGAAAUGCGCAGAUAUCAGGAGGAACACCAAUGGCGAAGGCAGCUCGCUGGAACGGUACUGACGCUGAGGCGCGAAAGCGUGGGGAGCGAACAGG